GCUUCGGUUGUGUAGUGGUAGCACGCGUCCCCGAUAUGGAUGAGAUGCGGGUUCGGCUCCCGUCUGAGGUC